rnacentral:lncRNA from 7 species
GCGGGUAGCAGGGGUUUACCUGCUGAUCCUAUUCCCUACAGCCCUUAGGAAGCUCUGACAGCCUGGGCCAUCCCCACGGCAGCAGCACGGUGCAGGUUCUGGAGGGCUGCAAACCCACGUGGAGGCCUUUGGCUCCAAGCUGUGCUGCCCCGUGACCGAUUCAAUGCCUGAGUUCUCCUGUGGUCCUGGUGUCCUUCCCAGUGCCAAAGCUGCGAGCCAUCAGCAUGACACAGGCAUGGCACGUGGUCCAGGCUGAUGGGAACACUGUGGCCUUUCCUGGAGGCUCAAGUGGGUCCUUCCAAACUUCAUAGGAUAUUCUGAGAAACGCGUUGGGGUGGGAACCGGCGUCCCUGCAAGAGGGAUGCUUUGCAAGCCAGGACCCCGGUCAACCAUCUCAACAUCCUUUCGCUCCCACGGUUUCCCUGAAUGUCCCCUUCAAGGGCUGUCACUCAGCCUGGGCACCCGGCACGGCUACAGCUGGCAGCCAGCAAUCCCGUCUGUGCCUGGAAUGUACAGAAGUGGAGUGAGACAGCUGCUUUUGGGGUUGGGACCCAAAGGGGAUGGAUGUAGGGGAAGGAUCUCUGGGACCAACUCUCAUCCAUUGCCAGGCACACGGCUAGAGGUCUCUUCCUCUCUGUGGGUCUUCUCCUCCCCGCUCAGAGUGCAAGGCCAUGGCUGGGGGGCACCAGCACCCAUCCCCCUCCUGCUGCCCCCGCCUCUGAUUGAUGUUGCAGCAUCUUCCCAUCGACAAACACCUGUAUCCUCCUCCAGCUACGGGGCUCCAGGCAAGGGGCCGCAUCCAGCUGCCAACUGCUCCUGCUCAGCUCAUGUUAGUGGAUAUUGGAACCGGUCGGUGCCAAAGUCUUCUCCAAUUAAUCUUCUCUUUCCCCUCCUCGCUGGACUGAAUCCUGAGGAGGAUCCAUCGAUCUCAGCGAUGUCCAAUGGAGCAGCUGGAGCUCGACUGGAGCACCUUCUGCAGGUUGCUGGGCACCGUGAAAGACACACUGGAAGCAUUUCCACAGCACUUGCAGAGCCUCUGCACAUCUGGGGGUGGGGGUGCAAAAAGAGAAGUGGGCACCAGUUGGGCUUCACAGUGAGCUGCCCUGUGGCUGCAGCACUUGGGGCUGUAAUGGGCUCAAAGAUUCCCAUGGGCACAGGGAAAACACAGGAACUAAACCCUUUCCCCAUUAAUAACAACAAUAGUAACAAUAAUAAAUCCUGAAAAC